rnacentral:rRNA from 1 species
AUGAGUCUCCUUAGCUGGAACUGCCAGGGUUUGAGGCAACCCCGGACAGUUCAGGAACUAGUGUGCCUAGUGCACACAUACAAGCCCAAGCUUGUGUUCUUCUCUGAGACGCGGCAAAGCAAUUCCUUUGUCAAUAAGUUAAUGUGGAGGCUUGGCCUCAGGCAUUGUAUCACGCAACCCGGCAUAGGAAAAGGUGCCGGUAUUGCGCUCUUCUAUGAUGAAAGUGUGGAAGUAAUAAAGCUUGCCGUUGGCCCGAGGUACAUCGAUGUGUUAGUGCAUUUUCACUCUUCGAGUUUGCAGUGGCGUUGUACUUUUGUCUAUGGUGAACCGAAAGCAAGUGAUAGGCAUCUCAUGUGGGAAUUGCUGAGGAUAUCAAAUGCACCAUGGCUGAUGAUGGGGGAUUUUAAUGAAGCGAUGUGGCAACCGGAGCACUUCUCAGCUACAAAAAGACCGGAACGGCUCAUGGAAAAUUUUCGAAAGGCUUUAUCUGAUUGUAACCUGUUUGACCUUGGUUUUAAAGGCCCAAGUUGGACCUUUGACAACAAACAAGAGGGAUGGAGGAAUAUUAAAACCAGGCUGGACAGGGGGGUCGCCUCGCCGGAAUGGUCAGAUUACUUCGGAGAUGCUUCGAUUGAGCACAUCUGCUCUUCCAGAUCGGACCACUUGCCUGUGUUGCUGCGUGUAGGAAAAAGAGGAGUGGAGACCCAUAGGGGAAAGGAAGAGCAGGCAGUUCCGAUACGAGCAUAUGUGGGAGCGACUGGAUACCUUGCAGAACACCAUUAA